rnacentral:tRNA from 1 species
GCGGGCGUCGCCAAGUGGUAAGGCAGUGGCUUCCCAAGCCACCAUUCGCGGGUUCGAAUCCCGUCGCCCGCU